rnacentral:rRNA from 1 species
GACGAACGCUGGCGGCGUGCCUAAUACAUGCAAGUCGAACGCAGUGGGGACGGGUGAGUAACCCGUGGGUAACGUCCCCAUCAGAAGGGAUAACACUUGGUAACAGGUGCUAAACCGAUACUGAUGGAUGGACCCGCGGUGCAUUAGCUAGUUGGUGAGGUAACGGCUCACAAAGGCCACGAUGCAUAGCCGACCUGAGAGGGGGAUCGGCCACAUUGGGACUGAGACACGGCCCAGACUCCUACGGGAGGCAGCAGUAGGGAAUCUUCGGCAAUGGACGAAAGUCUGACCGAGCAACGCCGCGUGAGUGAAGAAGGUUUUCGGAUCGUAAAACUCUGUUGUUAGAUAAGCGGUAUCUAACCAGAAAGCCACGGCUAACUACGUGCCAGCAGCCGCGGUAAUUC